AUUGAACGCUGGCGGCAGGCAUAACACAUGCAAGUCGAACGAGUGGCGGACGGGUGAGUAAUGUCUGGGAAACUGCCUGAUGGAGGGGGAUAACUACUGGAAACGGUAGCUAAUACCGCAUACCAUCAGAUGUGCCCAGAUGGGAUUAGCUAGUUGUUGGGGUAACAGCUCACCAAGGCGAGGAUCCCUAGCUGGUCUGAGAGGAUGACCAGCCAAACUGGGACUGAGACACGGUCCAGACUCCUACGGGAGGCAGAAGUGGGGAAUAUUGGACAAUGGGCGAAAGCCUGAUCGAGCCAUGCCGAGUGUGUGAAGAAGGUCUUCGGAUUGUAAAUCACUUUAAGUUGGGAGGCGUUACCAACAGAAUAAGCACCGGCUAACUUCGUGCCAGCCGCCGCGGUAAUAC
rnacentral:rRNA from 1 species